GGUCCUAUAGCUUAGUUGUUAAGAGCAUUCGGCUAAUAGCCGGAAGGUCGAAGGUUCGAGACCGGUUGGGACCA
rnacentral:tRNA from 1 species